rnacentral:rRNA from 1 species
CAAAAUGGCCAUACCCCCUUUGCUAUGCCCGAUCCCAUCAGAUCUUGGAAGUUAAGCAGGGAAGGGCCUGGCUGGUACUUGGAUGGGAGACCGUUUGGGAACACCAGGAAGCCUGGAUGA